UCGGGAAUUUUGGGCAAUGGGGGAAACCCUGACCCAGCAACGCCGCGUGAAGGAUGAAGUAUUUCGGUAUGUAAACUUCGAAAGAAUAGGAAGAAUAAAUGACGGUACUAUUUAUAAGGUCCGGCUAACUACGUGCCAGCAGCCGCGGUAAUACGUAGGGACCAAGCGUUGUUCGGAUUUACUGGGCGUAAAGGGCGCGUAGGCGGCAUGACAAGUCACUUGUGAAAUCUCUGGGCUUAACCCAGAACGGCCAAGUGAUACUGUCGCGCUAGAGUGCAGAAGGGGCAAUCGGAAUUCUUGGUGUAGCGGUGAAAUGCGUAGAUAUCAAGAGGAACACCUGAGGUGAAGACGGGUUGCUGGGCUGACACUGACGCUCAGGCACGAAAGCGUGGGGAGCAAACAGGAUUAGAUACCCAGGUAGUCCCUGAGCGGGCUGGCAAGGCGCAU
rnacentral:rRNA from 1 species